rnacentral:misc_RNA from 1 species
UAGGUUAUGUGCCAUUUCAACCCGAAAAAGUUGUCAUAACAAAAAACCACUUAUCAGUUAAACUUGCUCUUACUUAAUAAAAUAAGGAAAAUGCAGUCAGAUGAAGUUUACAAAUAUGUUUAUGACUUGGUCUUAUCUAAAGCUCAGAGUGCUUUGAUUGCAAUUUCUGACAUACACUAAGUGUAACAGCUUUGUUUUCUCUAUUUUACAUAUGCAAUGUAUAAAAUGGAAAACUAUGUUAAUUUCCCAAAACCUAAAAAUUGUAUAGAGGGUCCUUACGAAAUGUUUGCUAUGCUAAUGUUAUGAGUUGCGAGAGUCAUCAAACUUUUUCUCUAUUUUUGUAGUCUUGUGAAAGUUUAGCUGUGGUGCUUACUUAAUUGAGACCAUAUCUGUCUAUCUUACACUGUUUGUAAACUAUAUAGAUAAUGUUUGAACAUAAAAGGUACAUAUCAUUAAGAUACUCUUACCAUAACCCACAACUACAAACAACUAAAAAUACAGAAUUUUUGUCUAUAUGAUGAAAAGUGUCGCAUUUGUAUUAAUGUAGUAGAAAUGGUUUUUUGCAGUCAGAAAAUUAUUUUCUUUUUAAAAAAUACCAAUUGUUAGCCAGUCCAUUUUUUUUUUUUUUUUUUUUUUUUUUUACAAAUUUUAUGCUUUCAUAUUAUAAGUCAUGUGAAAUAUUCAAAAUAACAUAUAAAAAAAUUUAUUUGGUAUUUAAACAAAGUUGUCUGUUUCUAUAAGAAUAAAAUUUCAAAAUAC